rfam:Pseudomonas stutzeri A1501, complete genome.
UUGAGCCGUAUGAGGGGUGACUCUCAAGUACGGUUCUUAGGGGAGGCAGGAGUGGUAACACUCCUGCUUUACCCGAC